AUUUUAUCCAAGUGAUCUGCUCUUCCUCUCUAAUUUCUUUGCAUUUACAUUAUGAAAAGGAGACCUAAAUUCAUUUAAUAUGGUGUUAGCAUGACUGAUAUGCUUCCAUUACUCAGAGUUCUCAUUAUUUAUCUCAAAAUUCAGGAAUUUCUCUUGUUCCCUGCUUUUACUGUUUACUUUUCUGCUAGUGCAACAUUCCCCACUAUUGGAAGGCUUCAUCUUCAAAGCAAAGGACAUGGUACAAAAAAUGGAAAAUUAACCAAAAAUAAAGAGGAAACAACCAAAGCAACCAAAAUAACAAAAUUGUUGGAGCUACUGUCCUUAAAAUUCUAUAUGGUGGACUGAGGAGACUGCAAACUUCAGAUGGAGCACCUAUAAAGUAGUGGAAACUUCAUUAGCCUGGAUGACUGAGUUGCUGCAAAAAGAAUGCUUUCCCUGGAAAGCUGCUUAGUGCCUCAGACAACUUUAUAGAAACUAAAAACAAGCUUUUACUGUAUAACUACCAAUGAUUUUGUUGUUGUUUACUACCUCAGUAUAUCUUCUAGGUUUUCUUGACUAAUAGAUAUUCAUAUCG
rnacentral:lncRNA from 1 species